rnacentral:rRNA from 1 species
GGCCAGCAGCCGCGGUAAGACGUAGGGGGCGAGCGUUGUCCGGAAUUACUGGGCGUAAAGAGCACGUAGGCGGGAACUUAAGUCAGGUGUGAAAGACCGGGGCUCAACUCCGGGGUGGCACUUGAAACUGGGUUUCUUGAGGGCAGGAGAGGAAAGCAGAAUUCCUGGUGUAGCGGUGAAAUGCGUAGAAAUCAGGAGGAAUACCAGUGGCGAAGGCGGCUUUCUGGACUGACCCUGACGCUGAGGUGCGAAAGCGUGGGUAGCAAACAGGAUUAGAUACCCUGGUAGUCCACGCCGUAAACGAUGGAUACUAGGUGUGGGAGGUAUCGACCCCUUCCGUGCCGCAGCUAACGCAAUAAGUAUCCCGCCUGGGGAGUACGGUCGCAAGGCUGAAACUUAAAGGAAUUGGCGGGGGA